rnacentral:rRNA from 1 species
GACAUAGGUCGCAAACGUUAUCCGGAAUUAUUGGGCGUAAAGGAUGCGUAGAUGGUUCAAUAAGUUACUGGUGGGAAAUCGAGGCUCAACCUCGUGGAAGUCAGUAAUACUGUUGAACUUGAGUGCAGGAGAGGUUAACGGAACUUUAUGUGGAGCGGUAAAAUGCGUAGAUAUAUGAGAGAACAUCAAUAUGGCGAAGGCAGUUAACUAUUCUGUUACUGACGUUGAGGCAUGAAAGCGUGGGGAGCAAAACGG